rnacentral:lncRNA from 1 species
ACAAAACAGAAGGUUAAAAGACAUGAAAAUGUUCAACCCGACUAGAAAUGAGUCAAGUUCAAAUUAAAACCGGAUGCGCAUUACGCUCCACUUUUUAUCCAAUUAGCAAAGUUCAGAAACUCUUAAGUGGUCCCGUUGGUGAGAAGUGAGUUGGUAGGACACAGCCAGACGGCCGUUGGAAACUACAUAGAGAAAGCCUGGGUAGAUCCACCAGAAGGAGCCUUUCAAAAUGAGGAAGAAGACAUUUAUUUACAUCGAAGGACACUCGUGAUUUGCUGACCCAGGCGGGUCACAGCAGCAGAUGUGCAGCAGUGCCAUCUGCGCAGGGUUCUCUUGUGUGUUUGUGCACAGACGGGCUCACGGACCGACAAGACCUUUAGGAAGACACCUACGAACAUCUUCAGAGCCGGCAGCCACGGGCAGAUCAACUAGUUUUUACUUUACCAGGAGGAUCACCAUCCCCAAAUGUGGAUCUUAGUAACGUAUGCCAGUUUUUUUUUGUUUUUUUUUUUUUUUUUUUUUUUUUUUAUCAUUUCUGAACUGAAGCCAACUGAACCCAUCUUGAUAAGUCUGAGCAAGCAUCAACAUUCCUGGGGACGAAUCAUAUUUCCUAAAAGACUCUGAAAAGCUGUUCUUUAGACUAGUUGGCCAAGACACCGUUUCUGAGAAGAGAUGGGAAAUUAAGUCAAGAGAAAAAGCCUGGAAAUCCUGCAUGGUUGAAACGUGGAAGGACGUGAGCUGGAGACAGUUGUGAUUUGUGGGGAGCUUAGAGUGACCCCAGCUGGCUGAAUCAGAAUGGAGCGGAACAAUGAUGGGGCCUGAGGGCUUGCCAGUGGCCACCCCUGUGACGCCACGCGCACCGCACGGAGGGUCCAGGAACCAUGGAUCCAAGAUGAUGGUUCUUCCUCGAGGUUUGUGUGAAGGGCUGCCCGCUGGGGACUAGGAAGGGCCGGUGGAACGGAGCCACCAGGGAACCCGAGGCUCACUCUGGCUGUGGGCACAGGGCCGUCGCCCCUUCUCCUGAUUUCCUAGCCAAGUAGAUUCUGGUCGAUUCUGGGAAGGGGGGAGGGGGCGGACCGAGGAUGUCGCUGCCUCGGGAACGCGACCCUGGGCCCAUCACGACACUCCGUGUUCGGCCUGCAUGGAUCUCAACCGGCAAGUCUCCCAACGCUACGGCCAGUCCCCAUGACAACGGCCUCGCUUAGACCCCAGUGCCAGGCCCGCGGGUGGGCGGGAGGAGAGGCCUGUUCCAGGGCCGGGGGCCGGCCUGCCCGACCAGAGCCGACAGCUGAAGAGAAAAGGGCAUCUUCAGAUACAACACAGGGAAAUGCGUAGCUCGAUGUUUAUAAUGUGACUCCGGGUUCCACAGGCCUUCCUUUCCACCUGUGCGCCUCUCAGCUUUAAGCACGAGCAUCCAAGGGGCAAACCGAGACUUCGCUUCCCUCAGAGCCGGAUAGAUAAGCAGCAGCUUUUCCCAG